rnacentral:miRNA from 1 species
AUAUUGCUCCAUCCCAUACCCUCAUCUUUUAUUUCAAGCAUCCUGUUAGGCUUCUUAGCAAAAUCUUGUUGUCUGUUGGGGUGUCUGGCCCUGGCUUCCAGGAUGGGCUUGUCAAGCAAGUCUGAUCCAAUUCCAUUUUCCUCUGUUCCACAGCUUUCUAGAACUUCACAUCUCAUUGCUGGGCCAUUAGAGAUGUCCAAGGGGCUCCUUGGAAAUUCAGAGAUGCUGAAAGCUGGCUGUGUGUGGAGAAUGAUGGUACAUCUUAGGAGAUG